GCGGAAAUAACCAAGUGGCCAAAGGUGUAAGGUUCAGAUCCUUAUCUCUAGGAGUUCGUGGGUUCAAAUCCCAUUUUCCGCA
rnacentral:tRNA from 1 species